GGCAACCUGCCCACAAGACAGAUAAACUACCGGACAACGUAGCUAAUACCGCGAUACAUCCUUUUCCUGCAUGGCGAGAAGGGGAAAGGCGGAGCAAUCUGUCACUUUGUGGAUGGGCCUGCGGCGCAUUAGCUAGUUGUGGCGGUAAAGGCUACCCAAGGCGACGAUGCGUAGCCG
rnacentral:rRNA from 1 species